rnacentral:lncRNA from 1 species
CGGGGGCAUCGGGAUGGGGGGGCAGCCGCGCGGCGGUUUGAACGCCGAAAAACGGGCAUGAUCGGGGCGGUUUUGCCGGUUUGGCCGGUUUCGGCCCGCCGGGGGGCGGUUCAUGCCCCGGGGGGGACCGCGGGGCGGGAUCGGGAGGCGGCGGACGCGUUCGGUGGGGUUCGGGCGGGUGCGGCCGGAUGGGGGGUGUCCCGGGGGGCUAUAGCGCACGUCCUCGGGGGCCGCAAAGAAGGGGCCGUAACUCAUGAUCCGGGCCUCCGAUUCCGUUUCCGUCGGGUCCCGCGGGACCAGGGUUCCGUGGGCAUCGGGAUGGGGGGGUAGCCGCGCGGCGGUUUCAACGCCGAAAAAUGGGCAUGUUCGGGGUGCGCUCAGUAGGUUUAGACGGUUUUGGGCGUAUCUCAUGAUCCGGGCAUCCGAUUCCGUUUCCGUCAGGUCCCACGGGACCAGGGGUCCGGGGGCAUCGGGAUGGGGGGGUAGCCGCGCGGCGGUUUGAACGCCGAAAAACGGGCAUGAUCGGGGCGGUUUUGCCGGUUUGGCCGGUUUCGGCCCGCCGGGGGGCGGUUCAUGCCCCGGGGGGGACCGCGGGGCGGGAUCGGGAGGCGGCGGACGCGUUCGGUGGGGUUCGGGCGGGUGCGGCCGGAUGGGGGGUGGCCCGGGGGGCUAUAGCGCACGUCCUCGGGGGCCGCAAAGAAGGGGCCGUAACUCAUGAUCCGGGCCUCCGAUUCCGUUUCCGUCGGGUCCCGCGGGACCAGGGUUCCGGGGGCAUCGGGAUGGGGGGGUAGCCGCGCGGCGGUUUGAACGCCGAAAAAUGGGCAUGUUCGGGGUGCGCUCAGUAGGUUUAGACGGUUUUGGGCGUAUCUCAUGAUCCGAGCAUCCGAUUCCGUUUCCGUCAGGUCCCACGGGACCAGGGGUCCGGGGGCAUCGGGAUGGGGGGGUAGCCGUGCGGCGGUUUGAACGCCGAAAAAUGGGCAUGAUCGGGGCGGUUUAGCCGGUUUGGCCGGUUUCGGCCCGCCGGGGGCCGGUUCAUGCCCCGGGGGGGACCGCGGGGCGGGAUCGGGAGGCGGCG